rnacentral:lncRNA from 1 species
UUUGCGAAUCCUGAAACUAAAUGCAACCUUCCAGCCCACCAAGUUAGGGCAGAAGACAGGGCUUAACACGUCUAAGGCUAUAACAGCAAGGCAGACGGGAAUUCCCCAUACAACAUCAAUGACAGGCUGCAAUAAACAUCAACAACAAAACAACACAACCAGUAUUUUCGGGAGAAGAUACCUCGACCUCAGAUCAUUUGGGAAGCAUCUUAACACAGAGUGCCAGACCCAGCUAAGAAAACCAGGUGUUUGUUCAGCAGAAGUGUGUGAGAAGCGAUGCGAGUCGAGCCUGUGUAAAGGGAGAAACUCAUUAGACUAGCUGAAAGCACCACAGAAAGGAGCUUGCUGGAUUGAUUUGGCCGUUACGAGAAACCGCUGGCUUUUAUGUGGUUUAUAGGUGUUCUGCUUUCCACAGUUGAGACUCUAUUCUACUGUCCCGUCCGUUUUUCCUUUGGUCCUGCCCAUUUUUGACUAUGCCCCCACCCACUGCUGNUCUGUGACCUACACAAGGAAGUAUAGCUUUCAGCCUGGAAGAAGUUCCCCAUAUCUGUCUAUGAAUGAGAGAAGGAAAAAAAUUACAGAUAGUUAUUCUUCAUUGCAACAGGAUGUCUGCUUCAAAAUUAAUAUUGCUAUCUAUCGCUUCAAUUAUCUAAGAAACAAUGCCAAGUAUUAAUUGAAUGGGUCU